UUACGGUCACUUUUACGGAUAGAUUUGGGUAGAGAAGUGUGCACUGGUUCCUGAAUUGCAUCUGGUGCUUGUGUUACUGGUAGUAUCGGCUACCCCCGGAAGGCGAAUGCUAGUUGCGGUUUGAAGGAACAUGCGCGCUCCAAGCGGCUACCGGAUAUCCUAACUUAUUUUUUUUUCUCUUUUUGUGAAAUUUAAAUCCGGCGGUGAAGCGCAGGAAGUGGUUGUCCUCGUGCGUUCGUCGAGCUUACCUCCGCUCACCCUUGCCACUCGCUCAGCGAUAUGAAAAGUCGGGUUGCAAUUGGUCAUCUGCUUCGGUUGUCGUCCGAAGUAUGAACAUGGGGAAGAUAAGACAGAGAAACUCGAUCAGGCCUGCAACGAACGGAAGACGCAGGAGCCAGGUCAACCAAGCAUUAGACGAAGAUGGCUAAAGCGGGCAUCACAUGUGUUUCGCGGCUCUGUACUGUUCUAACACCGGGAAUUCCAGUUCAGCGAAAUUGUUCAGGUUUCCUAAUGACAGCUGGUUUGGCUCACUUGGCGAGAAGUCGACCGAGGACAUGCGCCGAACACUGAGAAAGAAGGUACGUUUGACGGAUCCGGCAGUGUUGCAAUGAAAAUUCUGCACAAGAAACGCGACACCAGACGUACGUCUCUUGCGUCACCUAAGCUCCUGUUAACGUCCGUUCAGUGCUCUUUGGAAAUCGCCGUUGACAGGGAAGACUUGUCUCAAGGCGAACAUUUCAUCAAUUUUCGUAUGAGGGACUGCGCUUCAUCAAUCUUCGAAUAACAGCGCAGAAAACCACAGUGCG